UUCCAGACUCCUACGGGAGGCAGCAGUGGGGGAUAUUGCACAAUGGGGGGAACCCUGAUGCAGCGACGCCGCGUGGGUGAAGAAGCGCCUCGGCGCGUAAAGCCCUGUCAGCAGGGAAGAAAAUGACGGUACCUGAAGAAGAAGCCCCGGCUAACUACGUGCCAGCAGCCGCGGUAAUACGUAGGGGGCAAGCGUUAUCCGGAUUUACUGGGUGUAAAGGGAGCGUAGGCGGUUAGAUAAGUCUGAUGUGAAAGCCCACAGCUUAACUGUGGGAUUGCAUUGGAAACUAUAGAACUAGAGUGUCGGAGAGGUAAGUGGAAUUCCUAGUGUAGCGGUGAAAUGCGUAGAUAUUAGGAGGAACACCAGUGGCGAAGGCGGCUUACUGGACGAUGACUGACGCUGAGGCUCGAAAGCGUGGGGAGCAAACAGGAUUAGAUACCCGUGUAGUG
rnacentral:rRNA from 1 species